rnacentral:rRNA from 1 species
AGUGAACGCUGGCGGAAUGCUUUACACAUGCAAGUCGAGCGGCAGCAUGGACUUCGGUCUGAUGGCGAGCGGCGAACGGGUGAGUAAUGCAUCGGAACGUGCCGUGUAGUGGGGGAUAACGUAGCGAAAGUUACGCUAAUACCGCAUACGAUCUACGGAUGAAAGCGGGGGAUCUUCGGACCUCGCGCUAUACGAGCGGCCGAUGUCUGAUUAGCUAGUUGGUGGGGUAAAGGCCCACCAAGGCGACGAUCAGUAGCGGGUCUGAGAGGAUGAUCCGCCACACUGGGACUGAGACACGGCCCAGACUCCUACGGGAGGCAGCAGUGGGGAAUUUUGGACAAUGGGGGAAACCCUGAUCCAGCCAUUCCGCGUGGGUGAAGAAGGCCUUCGGUUGUAAGCCUUUGUCUGGAGCAAUCUGUCGCUAUACCGGCUGGGGAGUGAGAGUACCAGAAGAAUAAG